rnacentral:lncRNA from 1 species
AUUUGCUGUUCUCCAUCCUUCUCUUCCCAACAGGUGCUGAGUUUGUUUCCCAUUCAGUGGCUGCUGUUUGCCUCAUGGUCUUUGGCAUCUGCCUUGCAAUCUCCAAGUGAGCCAGUGAGGUCUUCUUUGGUGCCCAGCCACUUCUAAUCAAACAAGCAUGUUUCUGGGGGAUGGCAAAGGCAGAAACUGUCACAAUUCCAGGCAAACCAAGUCAGGGUUUAGUGCUGCUGGACUGCUGCAGGUUGAGGAGUCUUUAAAGCCCAGGUCAAAUGUGCAGCUUAAGUUGUGGUUGAAGAGACCCAAUACCAGCUUGCUAGAAGGAGGCUGGGCUGUGAUCUGAGACCCGCUAAUGCAGUUCCACUGAGACAAUACUUGAGAGGUAAAUGAAGUGAUACUCAGAUAUGUAAAUGCAAUUGUGAUUGGUUUUAAAUGAGACUUUACAUAUCAUGAGAAGUCAGAGGCUGAAUAUGUGGGCUGGGUGAUGGACUCAGGUAUUUGGGCACGUUUCUUUGAAGAAACAGUCCUGGUGCAUGCACACUGUACUUAGCAUCCAAUUAUUUAUGCCUAAAUAUAUGAAAUUUGGCUGUCCUUGAGUACCUGAUUCAUGCCUAGCACAAUGUCAGGACUGAGAGGGUACAUGGAAAGGGAAAACAUUGCAAUGGGAAGGAAAAGAUGGUGGAGCUGUUAAACCAGUAGGCUCCUGGAUUCUUACAUUCUUCCUGAGAGCUUUUUAAGAUUUGGGAGUUACAAAGAAGGAGUUAAUUUAAGGUCUUUAAAAAGUUUCCUGAAAGUCCAAUAAGUCCUUUCAUCAUACAGCUAUUCUAUAUUUAGGA